AUGGUGUUCCCUCCAGCGACUGCAUACCUAGAUCCGCCUAAUUGGAAUAACCAGCAAGGUCAGCAGCAGAGGGCGACGGGCGGUGGCGGAGUAGGCGAUGCACAGCAUAUGCCAGAGGGUCCGACGGCGGGGACGCCCGAGGUCGGUGGGCUGCCGAGAAGCUCAGCGGCCAAUGAAGCCGCAGCCGGGCAGCAGGCGAGGCCAAAUUCCAUGACGGAGCGCGCGCGGAUGGCGCGGGUGCCGCAACCGGAGCCGGCGCUCAAGUGCCCGCGGUGCGACUCCACCAACACCAAGUUCUGCUACUACAACAACUACUCCCUCUCGCAGCCCCGCCACUUCUGCAAGGCAUGCCGCCGCUACUGGACGCGCGGGGGCGCCCUCCGGUCCGUCCCCGUGGGGGGUGGCUGCCGCCGAAACAAGCGCUCGUCCAAGUCAUCCGCCGGCGCCGUGUCCUCCUCCAAGCCAUCUUCUUCUUCAGCCAGGCAGCUGCCAGGUGUCGCGUCAUCUAUGCCAUCAACCGCGGCGUCCACCACCUUGGGGGCCGACGGCGCAUCAAUCCCUCCGGGUCUCAGCUCCAUGUCGCACCACCUGCCGUUCAUGGGCGCGAUGCACCCGCCGGGGGCCAACCUAGGGCUAGCCUUUUCCGCCGGCCUCCCGCAGCUCGCCAUGCAGCAGCACCACCACCACAUGGACGGUGUGGAUCAGUUCCCUCUGGCCAGCGGCGGGGGCGCCACCUUUGGCGCGUCACUGGAGCAGUGGCGGGUGCAGCAGCAGCAGCAGCAGUUCCCGUUCUUGGAACUUCCACCGGCGCCGCCCAUGUACCAACUGGGGCUGCAAGCUAGUCGGGCAGCAGGGAGCAGCGCAGCGGCACCGGCACCGUCGCCGGCGAUGUUCACGUUAGGGCAGUCUAGUGCAAGCAUAGCGAGGCGCGACGAAGGGUCAAUGAAGCAGGCGGACAGCAAAGGGCAAGAGAUGACCUUGCAGAGGCAGUUCAUGAUGGAGGCUCUACGCCAAGGGGAUGGCGUCUGGGGUGGCAACGCCAGCGACAAUAACGGCAAUGGCAGUGGCAGCUGGACCAUGAACAUCCCCGGAUUCCAUUCCUCGUCGGGCGGUGGCGACGGCGGCGGUCUGUUGUAG
rnacentral:rRNA from 1 species